AGUCCCAUGCACCAAGAGGCGUUACACAUGUGGCUGUCAUGCCAUGUGUGUGUCAUUAGGUGGCAGAGAGGAAGAGACUAUGUCUACACUCAGUGUUCUGAAAAUUGUGAGCACUCAGAAUGAUUAGUAGCCUGACAUUG
ensembl:snoRNA small nucleolar RNA SNORA43